UCGUUAUGAUUUGUGAAGAACAGACUUGUAUCUUGUUGAACUGAUUAAAGGUGAUGACUAAAUUCUGAAUCCCCCAUCAGUCAUUGGACAUCAUGUACUGCCGUACCAGAGAAAAUGAAUUAUGCAGCUCCAUAGCCUUCAAAUUUGAAUCCUCAUUGAUGAAGCCCUCAUUCAGCGUAUGAACCUUUGAGCUUACGUGAAAAAAACAAUGAAAGAUUCAAUCAGUUUUAACAUUAUUCUCUAACAAGUCGAAUGAAAUCCACAAAUUCUUACCUAAUAGCACCACAAAGAAAAAACCCAGAGAGAUGCAUUUCAAUGGUUUAAAUAUCAACCAGUAGUCCACCCCGUAGAAGAUUGUUCUAACAAAAGAACACUUUUUCCUUAUUUGUCAUUUCCAAUACUUGUCCGCAAUCAAUUGUCAUGUAAACAUUGGAGCAUUUGUUUUCAAAAUGUCAAAUCUGUACCUUUUUAAGUUGCAGUAGAAGAUAAUCAAAACUUCCUGGAUUAACAAUGUGAAUACCCUAAAAGAGCUUGGCUUCAGAAAGGCAGAAAACUUAAUUAAGAGAAACCAGAUCCACAGUUGCCUGCUCUUCGUGCUAAUAAAUCAUCUAAUACUAAAAAUGAGGUUGACUAACUGAAACUGGCGACUCUAAUAAUCUUCCAAGUGCACCCUUCAACGUCUUCCUUGCUUAUCCACGAUGAUAACUUGUCGACUUGAAUCAACUUCUUGUUUCUGUUUCCUGCCCUGCAGCUCUUUGGUUACA
rnacentral:lncRNA from 1 species